UUAAUGUCCAGGAGCGUGGCCUUCCGCAUGGGAGGUUGACAAGAGAUUUAUCGGUAUGGGAUGAGCUUGCGUCCGAUUAGCUAGUUGGCGGGGCAACGGCCCACCAAGGCGACGAUCGGUAGCCGGCCUGAGAGGGUGAUCGACCACAUUGGGACUGAGAUACGGCCCAGACUCCUACGGGAGGCAGCAGUAGGGAAUAUUGCACAAUGGGGGAAACCCUGAUGCAGCAACGCCACGUGUGGGAAGAAGCAUUUCGGUGUGUAAACCACUGUCGUGAGGGAAUAAGGCGUCUUCUCGGAGGCGUUGAAUGUACCUCGAAAGGAAGCACCGGCAAACUUCGUGCCAGCAGCCGCGGUAAUACGAGGGGUGCAAGCGUUGUUCGGAAUCACUGGGCGUAAAGGGAGCGUAGGCGGAGAUGCAAGCGGACUGUACAAUACCGGGGCCCAACCCCGGGCCUGCAGUUCGGACUGCACCUCUUGGAUAGUUCAGGGGCAGGCGGAAUUCCUGGUGUAGCGGUGGAAUGCGUAGAGAUCAGGAAGAACACCGAUGGCGAANGCNGCCUGCUGGGGACUCAUCGACGCUGAGGCUCNAAAGUGCGGGUAGCAAACAGGAUUAGAUACCCUGGUAGUCCGCACCGUAAACGAUGCAUAC
rnacentral:rRNA from 1 species